rnacentral:rRNA from 1 species
AGUAGCCAAGCCCGGAAGGGAUAAACGCUGAAGGCAUCUAAGCGUGAAGCCCCCCUUAAGAUGAGAUAUCCCAUUCGUUAAGAAGUAACCCCCCUUGAAGACGACGAGGUAGAUAGGGCAGAGGUGGAAGUGUGGCAACACAUGGAGCUGACUGUUACUAAUCGGGUGAGGGCUUGACCAAGAA